AGUUUGAUGCUGGCUCAGGAUGAACACUGGUUCCCUGCUUCACACCUGCUCGUCGAACGGACUUUUAUUGAACCCUAUCAAUAUAAAAGUUAGAGGCCGACCGGAGAGUAACCCGUGUUUAACCUGUUAUAUGCUGGGGGACAACACUUAGCACAAUGACUGCUAAUACCUCAUAAGCGCACAAAAUCCCAUGAUUCAGGGUGAAAAACUUCGGAGGCAUAUGAUGCACCCCCCUCAGAUUACCUGGGUGGUGACGUAACAGCUCACCGAGGCGACCAUUAGUAACCGGCCUGAGAGGGUGAACUGCCACCUUGAGACUGACACACGGCCCACACUCCUACCGGAGGACGCCCAGGGGAAUAUUGCACAAUGGGGGAAACCGUGAUGCAGCGACGCCGCGUGAGUGAACAAGUAUUUCGGUAUCUUAAGCUCUCUCAGCAGGGAAGAAAAUGACGGUACCUGCAUAAGAAGCCCCGGCUAACUACGUGCCAGCAGCCGCGGUAAUACGUAGGGGGCAAGCGUUAUCCGGAUUUAUUGGGUGUAAAGGGAGCGUAGACGGCAAGUCAAGUCUGAUGUGAAAUCCCGGGGCUCAACCCCGGGUCUGCAUUGGAAACUGUUUAGCUAGAGUGCAGGAGAGGUAAGUGGAAUUCCUAGUGUAGCGGUGAAAUGCGUAGAUAUUAGGAGGAACACCAGUGGCGAAGGCGGCUUUCUGGACUGUAACUGACGCUGAGGAGCGAAAGCAUGGGGAGCGAACAGGAUUAGAUACCCUGGUAGUCCAUGCCGUAAACGUUGGGCAGUAGGUGUGGGGGACAUUCCACGUUUUCCGCGCAGUAGUUAACGCACUAAGUGCCCCGCUUGGGGAGUACGCCCGCAAGGCUAAAACUCAAAGGAAUUGACGGGGGCCGGCACAAGCGGCGGAGCAUGCGGAUUAAUUCGUUGCAACGCGAAGAACAUUACCAAGGCUUGACAUGAACCGUAAAGGCCUGGAAACAGGUCCCCCAGUUGUGGCCGGUUUACAGGUGGUGCAUGGUUGUUGUCAGCUGGUGUAGUGAGAUGUUGGGUUAAGUCCCCGCGAACGAGCGCUACCCUUGUUAUACGAUGCCAGCGUGGUAUGCCGGGGACUCCUAGGAGCCUGCCGGGGUCAACUCGGAGGAAGGUGGGGAUGACGUCAAAUCAUCAUGCCCCUUGGUCCUUGGGCUUCAGGCUACGCUACAAUGGCCGGUACAAAGGGUUGUGAUAGUGUAAGGUGGAGCUAAUCCCCAAAAGCCGGUCUCAGUUCGGACCGAGGUGUCCAACUUGACCUCAUGAAGUCGGAGUCGUUAGUAAUCGCAGAUCAGCAACGAUGCGGUGAACCAGUUCCCGGCCCGAGUACACACCGCCCGUCAAG
rnacentral:rRNA from 1 species